GAAACGGCGAUAGUCAAAAUACGAACGUGGCAAUAAAAACAACGCGGUAUAACAACGGCUGUUAUCGUCCAUGACGGGCGAGAGAGACUAAUGCACUUUUCAUAUACACGGACACGUUUUAAUGUAGCUACACGGAGAAUUAUGUCGGUAAUAUAAUUAUUUUAAGUUGCACAACCUGCCCGGUUAUGGUCUACGCGAAUUAAAUGAGGUACACCGAUUGCACAUACCCGUUCCGCACCCGUCACUCGUUAUGCUACACCCGAUAUGCACGCAUACCUAGUCGAAAACCUUGUACGGAAACCUAGUCUGCCUGAUUGACUAAAACCGGAUAUUGCUCCAUGAAAGUUAGUACUGAGUAACUGAGUUGGUAGCACGGGUGUGAGCGUAAAAAAAAUCCUCCGAAAAAAUUGUGUACUGCGAUCGACUGAACCGAACGCAAAUACAAGGGACGGUCGGUAUUUUAUGAAGCGGACGUGGUGGAUAAUAAAAUGUAUGCUUUCCGUUAAUGAUGUUCGUCACUUCCCUGUCGUUUGCCAUCGUCAAUGCACGAGAAUAUUCUCCAUAGGGCCCGUGUAGUUUAAUCUCCUUUUUACGGUAUGGAAUUAUAUUCGAUAAACGUUUUGCGUGCGAUCAGUACGUCAAUUCGAUAACUGUUAUCAAGUUAACGAUGUAUUACGGCAAUAUGACGUACCACUUCAUAAAUCAUCAUAUUAUUAGGCGCAUUCGUAUAGCGCGACAUUACUGCAGAUUGUGUGAAGUGUGCGCGCGGGCGCUCGAAGAGGAUAGUUCGAGGGGAGGAGGAGCGCGAAACAAACGGAAUUCUCAAAACGUACGCUAACAAAGGUUUUUUUUUAUUUAAAUUUAUCCGGACUAUUAUUGUUCGUAUUAUUUUUUCAGGGGGACGAACGUCCCGUCUUGCGCCUCCCAAGUGGACGUCCGCUGGUGUACACGGUACAAACAGCCAAAUGGAAAACGCAAUCUAAUUAACGGCACUCGCGGUAUUGUACGAACCGAGUAAAAUAUUACUUGUGUUUUAUUUCGUGCGCGGAAUGGUUGUAUGCGCAUCGGUUACCCCCUCGUCCGGGGCCGUGUACUAGGGAGAAACGUUUCUCGGAGGUGUAGAGCGACACGCUAUAAACGUCUCAUAACGUAAAAUAAACUAUUUUAUGUCUAGGCAAAUGCGUUUUAUUGUUACGGAGACAUAAUUGAUUAUUAAUAUAUAUUGGAAAAAGAAAAAAAAAAAUCUCGAAACAAAAUUCGGGUGGACUGUUAUAUCGCAAUAUAACGGAAUGACGAGAAUUUUUGAACCAAAAACCAGUUAUUCGGCGAAUAAAAGCUUUCGAUUUUUUUUUUUUUUUUCAUGAAAAACCGCGAAGACCGUCACGGGAAAAUUAUACUCCGGCGUUUCAUCUAUAACAAUAUUAUGCUCGCCCGUCUUUUAAACCCCAAUGACAUUUUCGGAGUUCCAAAUUAUUUAUCCGUUUUAAAUUCGUGGUGUUAUCGCCGUUUUGCGUUAUGCCGGUCCAUCUAAUAUAUACUAGCCUUUCCCCCGGGGCGCAGAAGCGGUUUGGGAGGGAAAAAAAGCAAGUAAUAAUAUUUUGUAGUUUUUUUUAUAACUAUAAUGCCAUUGUGACAAAAAAUAUGUAACUAUUAAUUUUCUACACUGGGCUUUAUUUUUUCCAUUUGGUUUUUUUAACGUGCGUUCAAACAAACGCCACUGACAUAAAACAAUUUAAAAUGAAUAACGCGUUUAUUGGAUAAAGUGAGAUCGUUAGUCGAUUGCGUUUCGUCGGCUUUUGCUUUAGGAAGAAACCCUUGUUACCAAUUUAAGGGGGAGGAGGGGGGGGGGGGGGGGGUAGUUUUCUCGUGUACCUUUCCGCGAUGUGGUUUUUAACCAUGCCAAUACGUGGCCUAUGGAUUAUAUUUCGAUACCGAUGACGUGUCUAUGUUUACGAAUAAACAGUCUUUAACUGUGCAAGGUGGUCAGAGUGGUAUUUAAUAAAUUACAACGUGAAAUUAACUGUGGUUAACGUCUAUAUCAUAUUUGUACGGGAUUAUGGUACAAACAAGCUGCUCGUUGAAUUGCGAUAAAAACGAUUAAAACAUAUUUACGUUGAAAUUCCAAACAGCCGUUGUUUCUACAAUCAAAACUAAUGCACGCAUUAUAAAACUCAGUACACACUUUGAUUUUCAAGGGCGCGCGCUGUGUCAGAUGACACACUACUACUAUUGCACUGUGUACGGUAAACAGACGCGGUGUUAACGGUGUUAAUUAUCAACGAUAUUUUCAGGCUUUCGGUAAUUGUGGCCUUUAAGGGGAAUUUUCGAUCGUUCUAAUUACGUCCGCAAUGCCUGUGCGGUAUUUUCGACGUCGCGUUUAGACAAGUACUGCUCCGUUCUCUCCCCCCUCAGAAAAUGUUUAGGUCAUUUCGCUGUGCACUUAAUCGCUCCGAAAAAUAAUAGAUUGCAUCGUAAAUAGCAUGAACGGUUAGUACCGCUCCGAAUUAUUUCCGGGAUACGACACUACGUCCCCGAUAUCCGUAAUCCUUUUGUUUUUUUUUUUUUCGGAAUUUGUGUUUGAAAAACUUAAGAAACGAGCGGUUCGAAAAUGUUGUAACUGUUACUGUCUAUUUCGCUUUAUCGCUUUAUCCGCUUUUUAUUUUCCAAUAGCACUCCGAAUCGAAAACGCCACGGAUGGAUACAUUUUGAGAUAUUAUUUCAGAUGAAUUUCAUCGGAGUUUCAUUAACAUAUUUGCUUAUAUCAACUUAUACACUUUUAAAGAAUUAUCUUUUGUGGAAUUCGUUUCGGAAUCGAGGCAAUAAUCUAUUUUUAUUUUUUAUUUCUUUUAUUAUUACUAUUAUUAUAAUUUUUUUUUUUUUUUUUGAGAAUAUAAUAUUCUCGCUUAGGCACGAAAAACUCAUAAUUUCAACAUUCAAGCGUUAUUUUGUUCGGCGUGAGUAACGCUGUGAUAACGCGAAAGUCGCCAAAAUGGUUAUUAGCACCCGUUAAUCUACGCGCUCUACCGUAAAAUAAUUGAAUACUGUCAAAGAAGACCGCGGUUAGGCCGUGUCCUCGUUCGAGAUUACUCGAUCCGAACGUCAUAACAUUACACUCUGGACACUACGACGACGUAUUCGACGGUUAAAUGUUAUUAUUAUUAUUAUUAUUAUC